AAGAAUAGCACAGCAGCAAGAAAGGCACCAGAAGAAAAAGCAGGCUGAACUGUCAUCUUCUGUGGAGACUGUAAAGGAGCCAGUGUCCUUCCGAUCGGGGGAGUUUGUCGCUGUUUGGUACAGUGACCUCCACGACAGACCCACUUGGUACCCAGGGUCUGUCGUGGAAGAUGGUGUCCAAACAGCGACACUUACCUUCUUCCACCCAAGUUGCAGGAGGAAUGUUCCAACUGCCAGCUGUUGCUGAUAUCAGAGGGGUAGAAAAGAGGUUUGUUCUGACCAAUGUAGCUGUCACACCAAUUAGUGGAGGGAGGUACUGGAGGGUGGAGAACCGGCAUAGAGUUGAUAGGUUGUGUAGCGAGUUUCACUAAGGUAUGAGUUUGGUGUCCUCCUGGCUAAUUUGGCAUUUUAAGUU